GACGAACGCUGGCGGCGUGCCUAAUACAUGCAAGUCGAACGCUUCUUUCCUCCCGAGUGCUUGCACUCAAUUGGAAAGAGGAGUGGCGGACGGGUGAGUAACACGUGGGUAACCUACCCAUCAGAGGGGGAUAACACUUGGAAACAGGUGCUAAUACCGCAUAACAGUUUAUGCCGCAUGGCAUAAGAGUGAAAGGCGCUUUCGGGUGUCGCUGAUGGAUGGACCCGCGGUGCAUUAGCUAGUUGGUGAGGUAACGGCUCACCAAGGCCACGAUGCAUAGCCGAACUGAGAGGGUGAUCGGCCACACUGGGACUGAGACGCGGCCCAGACUCCUACGGGAGGCAGCAGAAGGGAAUCUUCGGCAAUGGACGAAAGUCUGACCGAGCAACGCCGCGUGAGUGAAGAAGGUGUUCGGAUCGUAAAACUCUGUUGUUAGAGAAGAACAAGGACGUUAGUAACUGAACGUCCCCUGACGGUAUCUAACCAGAAAGACACGGCUAACUACGUG
rnacentral:rRNA from 1 species